UGUAUAUUCACGUUUACAAAGCCAAAUUGAACACAAGCGAUGUUGAAUAAACGCCUCCGCAGAGUGAAGUUAAGCCAUGACUCUAGAUUAACACCGAGAGCAGAGUUGGCAGGAAGCAGAACGCUCUGUGCAUUGAAGCCACCUCGUCGUGUGAACUCAGCCGCGCUGUGCAGGCUCACACGUGGAGGGUGCUCGCCAGCAAAAGGAGCUGAAUUGCGGAUGACCAGAGGUACACACGCUUUUGCGGGAGUGAUCUUUAAGGGAGAAGAACGCGAAAGGGGUUGAACUGGUGCUGUUAGUGUGAGCGGUGCAGGAGGAAAGUGAGGGGGUGAUGGGAAUUGAGCGAAGAACAACAACAUACCGGAAGCAACGGGAACCAGAUGAAGGUGUACAAUAGAGAGAAUACAGACCGGAUGCAUCACCGCCUGUUUGGCAACUUGAAUACCCAAGAAUGAAAGCGACUGCAGAGAGUGGCAGAUACUGUCCUGUCCAUCUCAGGACAAUUUUACAGUGGCCAAUUCACAUGCACAACCCACGCGUCUUUACGAUGUGGAAGCAAAGCAGAGAACCCGGAGGAUACCCAUGCAGAAUGUGCUAACUUCACACAGAGAACACUUGUGGUGAGGAUUGAACCUGGGUCUCUGGCGUUGAGAAGCAGCAGCUCCACCAGCUGCACUACUGUGCUGCUCCAAAAGUAUUUAUUUCUAAAUUAACUCUGCUGAGUUAAGAUAAAUGUUUAUUCUUCUUAGUGUUCUUAGGAUCUUUAAGUAUUUUAGAUAUGGUUCAAAUUUUCACAAGCUUUUUUAAAUAACAUUUUGUGAACCGCUGAUCAUGGGAGGGGUAUUUAUCUCAAAUGUAGGGAUGCAUUUUGGCCAGAGUACUGGGAACAAAGUCACACUCUUCUUUGAGUAGUGCAAUGGAAUAUUUUGUUCACCUGAGUCAGCAUAUGAGCUUUUGAUUUAAUGUUAGAUUUGAAAGUUAGUCCCUAAAUCACCUAAGAUCUGUACUGGAGCCCCAGCUAAGAUUUUGAACACAAGUCUCUAGUAAUGAACUUGACCUCAUAGUUUUCUAGCUCUGCAUUAUGAAUGCCACCAACUGACCAAGGGCUUGCACUUAAGAAGAUUUAUCUGAUACAGGAAGAGAAGUGGCAGACAGUUCCAGAGGCAAUACUGGUGGAAAGUUCAAUUAGCCCACCAAAAUUCAUCCAGAAAGAUGUGUAGACCUGGUGCAGUUUCUGAGACUUUCCCUGGAGCUCAGUUACGUUUCCAGCUGUGGCAGCUGAGAACCUCCAAAGCUUCAUCACUGAAUGGCAAUCAUUGGCUGCGCUCCAAAGACAAUGAAAAAAGGACUUGCGAUUAUAUUGUUCCUUCCAUUUCUUCAGGACAUUGCAAAAUGCAAAUAGUUCGGAAAAUGUUAGAGAAAACAACCACAAUUCUCAACUUUGACAGCAAAAACUCAUGGGAACCAAAUGUACUUUUGCCAGAUUAAUUCAUUUGGUCCAUUCUCCUUUCACUUUAAAGCAUGUUAAAGAGGCACAUUGCCCGGGCUGCUCAAGUUUUACAGUUUUGCAGUCCUCCUCCACAGAAGGAUAUCAGAUUUAUUUAAAUCAGUGGAAUCCCCAGUGUGUUCUUAAUUGUAGCCAAGUAUUGUGUUCAGUUCUGGGCAUCAUGUUAUAGGAAAGAUGUUGUCAAGCUGGAGAGGGUAGAGAAGAUUUACGAGAAUGUUGCCAGGACU